rnacentral:rRNA from 1 species
ACGGCGAGUGAAGCGGCAACAGCUCAAAUUUGAAAUCUGGCCCCCUCGGGGCCCGAGUUGUAAUUUGCAGAGGGAGCUUUUGGCGUCGGUCGUGGUCUAAGUUCCUUGGAACAGGACGUCACAGAGGGUGAGAAUCCCGUACGUGGCCGCCGGCCUUCGCCUUGUAAAGCCCCUUUCGACGAGUCGAGUUGUUUGGGAAUGCAGCUCUAAAUGGGAGGUAAAUUCCUUCUAAAGCUAAAUACCCGCCAGAGACCGAUAGCGCACAAGUAGAGUGAUCGAAAGAUGAAAAGCACUUUGGAAAGAGAGUGAAAAAGCACGUGAAAUUGUUGAAAGGGAAGCGCUUGCGGCUAGACGUGCCCGCGGUUGAUCAUCCAGGCUCCGGCCUGGUGCACUCCUCCGCGGGCAGGCCAGCAUCAGUUCGGGCGGUCGGAUAAAGGCCUCUGUCACGUACCACCCCUCGGGGUGGCCUUAUAGGGGAGGCGCAACACGGCCAGCCCGGACUGAGGUUCCGCGCAUCUGCUAGGAUGCUGGCGUAAUAGCAGCAAGCGGCCCGUCUUGAAACACGGACCAAGGAGUCUAACAUCUAUGCGAGUGUUUGGGUGUCAAGCCCGAGCGCGCAAUGAAAGUGAACGGAGGUGGGAACCCUCACGGGUGCACCAUCGACCGAUCCUGAUGUCUUCGGAUGGAUUUGAGUAAGAGCAUAGCUGUUGGGACCCGAAAGAUGGUGAACUAUGCCUGAAUAGGGUGAAGCCAGAGGAAACUCUGGUGGAGGCUCGCAGCGGUUCUGACGUGCAAAUCGAUCGUCAAAUUUGGGCAUAGGGGCGAAAGACUAAU